UUCUCGAGAAAACUCAUCCACACGCCGCUCCACCGCUCUACAUAUACUUAUAAAAGGCUCCAUCUCCGCCUCGCUUUCUCCCCUACCCGAAAAUUGCUUCACGGCAACCCUCCUUUCCAUGGUGCAUCAGUGCCUUGUUGCUGUAUGAUUAAUUGGCUGUCGAUGUCGCGGUCGCUUUGAGAUGGAUGCUGCGCCGUGCUGGACGCCUGCGGGGGUGAGCCGCUGCCAGGCCGAAUGCCAUCGACGUCGUGCCGCUGGAGGGCAUCGUGGCUGCGCUCGCCUGCAGGGCCACAGGUAGCCAGGCCAGACGGCGCCGCUGUGUUGGUAUGCAGCAGCGGCACCGUGCUGUCUGCCUAGGUGUUGUCUUCCUCGACUUCCGUCGCUCCGGGUCUGCAUCUAGCGCCGCGUUUUCGACCUCUCCGACUAAGCCACACGGUUGCCACCCACAUGCACCGCUCAGGCACUCCCAGUCCAGCCUCGGUGGUUAACCGGCUGCUCUGCGGUUCCCCCAUUGAGGGAGGGGGUUAACUUUGUUUGAUUCUAUUUUCUCUGGUUCACCCUCACGGCUGCGCUUCUUUCUCUGUCGCGGCAAGAGUCGCCGUUCAGGGACGUUACAUGGAUCUGGGUGCCAGAGCAGGUCGGGGCAUGGAGGCCUGUGAUCAAUAAUGCUAAACAUAGGAAGGUUUACAUGCUUUUACACGCUGACUAUGGUUUUUUUAAACAAACUAACCUCCUGAUUUUCAUGGGGUGGGGCCCCUUCUCCCGUUUAAUCUUCAAUCAAAACCCACCUUUAUGUAAAAACAUAUAGCCUUUCGUAUAUGUAGCAUUACCCGGCCUGUGAUGGACAUCGUGCAUGCAAAGGGCGGGCAGCAGCCAGUAGGUUAGCCCGCUUCGACGGCUGACAUCGACGAGGAGGCAGGGCUCCGAGGAGAUGUCCAACGUCAUUGACAGGUUCGGACGUGCCGACUAGAGCGUCGUCGAAGCCCGUACGUGCAAGCACGUGCGCACGAAAAUGCUGCUUCGGUCAGUAUUCUGGCCUUUGCUGCACUCACGCCUUGCCAUGGCAGUCCUUGACGGUGUGAAGAUUCUUGGUGCCAAAGGCUACUUCCUGGAUGAUGAACACGAUCGCAAAGAAGCCAGGCGGCCGGUGGAGGUUCGCAGGUGAUGGAUGCCGGCUGGUGCAUGCGUCCAGGACGUGGUCACCAGGUGGGCAUGCGGCUGCAGCAGUAUAGUUCACGACUGAGCCCUCCAAAUGAGCACGCGCUGGUGCUACGCGUCGUGAGCCUUCUCAACGGCCACGGCGUGAUCUUUUUUUUUUUUUUGAGGGGAAAGAUCGCCGCUUUAUUAACUAAGUGUAGCUCGGAAUGUCAUCCGAAAUUACAUCCAAGAUGCAGUCUGGGGGAACCCCCAACCAAACCUUA